GGGAUGCAUCCUUUUAAGAUAAGAUAGACUGAAUCCUGCAAGGUUGACGUUCAACUUGGCAUGUCUGCCUCCCUAAUGUUUGUACUCAGGCCACAAGACAGGGCUUCUGGAACAGUGAAAAACAGAAGCAGGUAAGUGUCCCCUGGUGGCAGCUGGAAAGACAGACCCCACCCCCCGUGGGUGACUCCGUUUUCUUCUCUUUUGGCCAGGAGCAGCAGACUUUUGGAAAUGGAAAACAGCCUUCCGUUUGAGUGAAGAAUGCCGAAUUUUGCCGGGAGGGAAGCAGAAGUUUGGGAGCUGGAAAUCCUGGGUUGCGUGUGAGAUUCUUUGCCAUGUGGCUUUCUGCCUUUGGACAAGACACUUUAUAUUUCUGGGACUCUAGUUUCCUCUCUGAGGAGCAAAGCUGGGAAUACCUGCUUGUCAUUCGCUCUGAAACCUUAGGUGAAACAGAUGAAUUGGUUUCUAUUAAUGAGUAGAGAAGAACAAAGAUGGGCAGAGAGCGAGGACAAAGGGCGCGAGCUGUUGGACAAAUUGGCGGUUUAUUGGACUAAGACAGGAAGACUCCUUCAGUCGAAUUUACCCGGUGUGGGAAAGGACCAAGCACAGAGGGACGGGAAGGAUGCCGAAUUGUGACAGCCUCAGAUUUACUAUCUAGAGAAUCAAAAUCGUUUUCAGGCCAGUGUCACGGUCCAGGGCCCCAGUGAAAACACACAGUUCUGACAGCGAGUACUGGUUUUAUCACUUUAAGUCCCACGCAGGUCACUUUCUCCCACUAAAGGUCCUGCUCUCAUGGUGGAAACGGGCUCAGAGCUCCAGGAGGCGUGGGGGGGCAGGAGCCGGUCGGGAGUGGGUGGAAGGCUAAAUGAACACUAAUUCCCUAAUAGCAUCUCAUAUGUAGCUCGUUUUCAAAUUUCCCAAGUAUCUCCAAACUCUUUUGUAGAGCUUCUUUUCUUUUCUCCUUUCUUUUUUGAAAACUACAAUCUGGUCAAGACUUGUGCCUUGUCUUUGGUUUUUUUUCCCCCCCUCACUGCUUACAUGACAAAACUAAUCUAGAUGCUCACAGCCACUGUCAAAUGGUAUGUUUCCAUGAUAGGUUUUCCAGGCAUUGGCCACUCCUCUGGGACUCCUAACGAGAGAGGCCCAGAUGCAGACCCUUUAAGCCUUUUUUAAAAAUCUUCAGGGGAGUCUGGGUGACUCAGUCCAUUGGGCGCCUGACUCUUGAUUUCAGUUCAGGUUGUGAUCUCACAGUUCGUGAGAUCGAGCCCCGAGUCAGGCUCCAUGCAGACCGUGUGGAGCCCGCUUGGGAUUCUCUCUAUCCCCUCC
rnacentral:lncRNA from 1 species